AUGACGCAUGUGCAAAUUCGCUGGAGGAAGUAGUUAUUUUCGGAAUUUGCAAGGAAAAUGUAGAAGAUGUGUUUAUUGAAAUUAUAAAUACGAGGCAAUAUGGGAUAUGAACUCAAUCGCUUUCAAGGUGAUGUAGAUGAAGAAUUGGUUUGUCCCAUAUGUAGUGGAGUGUUAGAAGAACCCUUGCAGGCCCCACAAUGUGAGCAUGCAUUUUGUGGAGCUUGCAUACAGGAAUGGUUAACAAGACAACCAACUUGUCCAGUUGACCGGAACCCCAUCACCCCCAAUCAGCUGAAGCCUGUCCCCCGCAUCCUCAGGAACCUUCUGUCCCGCCUACAGAUCGCUUGUGAUAAUGCCACCUAUGGCUGUACCGCAGUAGUUAAAUUAGACAUGCUGUCUGCACACAUACAGGAAUGUGAGCACAAUCCCAAAAAGCCCGUUCAUUGUGAGAGUGGGUGUGGGAUUGUUGUUCCCAAGGAUGAGUUAAAGGUUUGUCUGUUUGUAAUAGACGCUCUGUGAUGUGAUGGUGUACCUCUAUCAUAGACAAAUUAGACAUGUUGAUUAAUCUUGGUUUUGUACACAGGAUCACAAUUGUGUUCGAGAGCUUCGUAAUCUAGUGCAACAACAGGCAUCAAGAAUGACAGAAAUGCAGACUGAAUUAACAGAACAGAAAUUAAAUAUCAGUGAACAAAAAAGGGAACUACAGCUUUUAAAAGAGUAUAUGAGAUCAAUGAGAGUGUCUAACCCCAGAAUGAGAGAAAUACAAUCAGAGAUGGAAAAUGCUGAUGUUCUAAGAUGGGUGAACAGUUUACAGACUGCCAGAGUGACACGGUGGGGUGGAAUGAUUUCUACCCCUGAUGCUGUGUUACAAGCAGUGAUCAAGAGGGCCCUCAUUGACAGUGGCUCCCCACCCCACAUAGUCAAUGAGCUGAUGGAAAACGCCCACGAACGACGGUGGCCAAAUGGACUCAGUACUUUGGAGACCAGGCAACUCAACAGAAGACAGUAUGAAAAUUAUGUCACAAAACGAAUUCCAGGAAAGCAAGCUGUGGUGGUGAUGUCAUGCGAAAACGAACACAUGCCCGAUGAUUUGAUUAUGGAGCCCGGACUGGUCAUGAUAUUCGCCCAUGGCGUGGAAUGACCAAAAAUAAUGAGCAACGAUCUGUGAUAUUCUGUGAUUAAUGGAACUUUAAGGAACUGGAUUUGAGAUGGCUGACAGAACAGGAGAGAUAAAGUGCUUUCACAUCUAGUAACAGAUCACAUGUUCUAGAUGACCAUUCUCAUUACUAUUGUGUAUAUUACUAGGAAUGUACAUGUUGUUUGACAUUCUAAUGUUACUUACAAAUGGUGCAUACAUAUUUUUUGAAUGUUGAAUACCUGUAACAUAUUAUUAUCAUGUUUUGUUUUUGAUUUUUUGCUCCAAUUUUUAAAAAAAACUUUCUCUGUCACAUCUUCUGUUUCACAAUGGUACAUGUAUAUAAGUUGUUAGCAUGAAUGAAGUUAUGUCUAUGCCUUAAUUUCUCUCCAAAUGAUAGUUUGUCUUGCAUCUAUCACCUUAUUUUCAAGUUUUCACAGGAAAGUAUUUAUUACAAAACAAAGUUCUUGCUUUGUUGUAUGAUCCUUUGUUUUGACAAGUUUUAGAACUUUUUAAUAAUGAUAAUGUCUUUCAAAGUUUUGAACAAAUAUAUAUAUUUUCCCACAAGUAAUAAGUAAUAAAGACACACUUUGCAUUUAUAUCUAGGUUUUGUCCUGUCUGACUAUGUACCUUUUGUAAUGGUAUAGAAUUAACAAAUGUGUACAGUGAAUCACCUCUUUCUUUUUCAUUGUUUAAUAGUCAGUACAUACAUUUAUGAUCAUUUUACUUUUACACUGAGGUAAAAUAAUGAUUGACUGUUCACGCUUGUAUGAGAUUUCCUCCAAAAUGUAUGGUUACAUUUUUCGGAUAUGGAAGUAUGAUAUCAUUUUGCAGUCAAACUGUAAACAUUACAGCCAGUCUGUGUAUACCAUUGACUGUUUAUUUAGAUGUUGCUUUUAAAAGGACAUAAAAAAUUAUUUAUGACUAUAUUUAAUAGGUUCUUUAAGAUGUAUGUAUAUUGUAUAUGAUGACAUAUAUUUUAUUUUAUAUAAAUGUAGUUAAAAUAGUUAUAACUGCAUUUCCAUGACAGAAAUAUGUUAAAUACUUGUAUAAAUAUUGAUUAAUGUUUAAUGAAAAUGAUGGAUUUAUUUUGUGAAGAAAAAUUAGUUUCAUAGGCAAAAACAAUCUGAUUUUUGGACAGAUUUGGUUGACCACUUUAUCCAUUCAAUUUUUUUUAUGUACAAUUUGCAUGCCUUAUUCACUCCAAUAGGUAAGCCUUGAACUAUUUAGGAAAACAUGAAAGCUUUGAGUGAUGGUUGGCCACUGUUUUUCACCAAACUGAAAGUGUAAAUCAUUAAAGGCAGAUUGAGAAAUUCAAACUGCUAAACAUUCUGUGCAAUUGUAUCCAGGAAUCCAAAUGCCCCAACAUAGGCAAUGUCUGUGUAUAUGUAAGGUUUAAUUGAAUAUCUUAACUAUCUGUCAAAGUGUUGUAAAUAUUGUGCAUGUGUAAAAUACAACAUAUCUUGCAUUUACAGAAAUUCAUUGUGUCAAGUCAACUUAAUGUUGCGUUCAGCUACACUUUAUUGUUUAGAUGAAAAUAAAAAA
rnacentral:misc_RNA from 1 species